rnacentral:rRNA from 1 species
UUGAACGCUGGCGGCAGGCCUAACCCAUGCAAGUCGCGCGGAUGAAGGGAGCUUGCUCCUGGCUUCAGCGGCGGACGGGUGAGUAAUGCCUAGGAAUCUGCCUGGUAGUGGGGGAUAACGUCCGGAAACGGGCGCUAAUACCGCAUACGUCCUGAGGGAGAAAGUGGGGGAUCUUCGGACCUCACGCUAUCAGAUGAGCCUAGGUCGGAUUAGCUAGUUGGUGGGGUAAAGGCCUACCAAGGCGACGAUCCGUAACUGGUCUGAGAGGAUGAUCAGUCACACUGGAACUGAGACACGGUCCAGACUCCUACGGGAGGCAGCAGUGGGGAAUAUUGGACAAUGGGCGAAAGCCUGAUCCAGCCAUGCCGCGUGUGUGAAGAAGGUCUUCGGAUUGUAAAGCACUUUAAGUUGGGAGGAAGGGCAGUAAGUUAAUACCUUGCUGUUUUGACGUUACCAACAGAAUAAGCACCGGCUAACUUCGUG